GGGGGUGUUCCGGAAUUCGACUUAUGGUCGUAGCUCAUGCCUGCGUGUCGGAGAUGAUACUUGGCUCCGCAAAAAUGUAUCACAAAAAACAAUAAAUGGCGAAGAAUACGCUAUUGCUGCUUAAUUAACGCGGCACGUCAGCCCGCCCACUCCCAAUAAGCGGAAUCUGGCGUCGACAUUGGGAACAGGGAUUGCCGAUAUUUGUUCUGGUCGGCGGUCGCCAAAUUGAGAACAAUGCAUUCGAACCGGUAGUUGAAGCCAAAGUUCGGAUAAAGACAAAAAUUCAACUACACAUGUAGACGGUAUGGUCGAAAGCGAUAAGGACAGGGGUUCGACCCCCCUCACCUCCACCA
rnacentral:tmRNA from 1 species